CGGUCACCGCUCGGCUCCCGCUGCUCCCCCAGGACACAAACCUCCUUGGGGGCCCCACUCUCCAGCUGCGGAUGCUGCUUGGGGUCCCUGAGGCCCCUUACUGGUGGAGUCAGGUGUGGUCACUGAAACAAAUGCACCUGCCAGG